CCUACGGGGGGCAGCAGUGGGGAAUCUUGCGCAAUGGGCGAAAGCCUGACGCAGCCAUGCCGCGUGAAUGAUGAAGGUCUUAGGAUUGUAAAAUUCUUUCACCGGGGACGAUAAUGACGGUACCCGGAGAAGAAGCCCCGGCUAACUUCGUGCCAGCAGCCGCGGUAAUACGAAGGGGGCUAGCGUUGCUCGGAAUUACUGGGCGUAAAGGGAGCGUAGGCGGAUAGUUUAGUCAGAGGUGAAAGCCCAGGGCUCAACCUUGGAAUUGCCUUUGAUACUGGCUAUCUUGAGUACGGAAGAGGUAUGUGGAACUCCGAGUGUAGAGGUGAAAUUCGUAGAUAUUCGGAAGAACACCAGUGGCGAAGGCGACAUACUGGUCCGUUACUGACGCUGAGGCUCGAAAGCGUGGGGAGCAAACAGGAUUAGAUACCCCGGUAGUC
rnacentral:rRNA from 1 species